AUUGCUUCUCGGCCUUUUGGCUAAGAUCAAGUGUAACAAGAUGCUGUGUAAGACCUGAGUAGAGAAAUAAAUUUUCUAACAAUUAAUGUGUUAAUUAAAUUGAUUUUUUAAACUUUUU
ensembl:snRNA U2 U2 spliceosomal RNA